AUGGCGAUGCAUCGUCAGGUUGCUUUACUCCUCGCCCUCAUCCUCCUCCUGGCUACCGGAGACGGCAGCCUCGCCGUCGGCACUCCGUCCGCGAUCAUCACAAGGACAUGCGCCGCUGUCGGUGGGCAAGUGGGUUACGACUCCUGCGCGGGCGCGCUCUCGGCCGACCCGGCGGCCGCGGCCGCCAAGGACGCACGUCAGCUCGCCGUCGUCGCCACCAACCUCACCGUGGCUAACGUCACGUCGACGGUGCUCGUCCUCGACGACCUUGUCAAGAACCUCAGGGCCUGCCUCCGCUACUACAGGGACAUGAACAAGACUCUGAAGGGCGCGCUCGGUGACCUACGUGCUGGGCGCCUCGAAGCGGCGUCGGACAAACUGUUGGAUGCCUCCCACGCGCCCAGCGACUGCGACAUCCUCUUGUUCGAGGGGAGAGCGGAGAAGAACCCGAUGAGCAAGGAGAACACCCACGCCGCUUGGCUGUCCCGACUGGCAUAUGCGAUUGCUAGCUCGCAGGCGCUGAAUCCCCGGCACCGACGUCAAGUUUAA
rnacentral:rRNA from 1 species